GUUGAAGGUGUGUGAAACAAAAAAGAUGGUACCUGGUCUUUGAAUUGGUUGACCCCACAAUUCUUGAUGACUUGGAACUCUUUGUAAAUGGAUUAGAUUACCAAGUAGUUCCAAAGUAUUUACUUCAGAUUAUUAAUGGAAUUAGAUUUCAUCAGUCGCAUCAUACACAGAGGUGUAAAGCCAGAGACUUUUAGUCUCCCAGUCUGGUGUGAAUUUAUGUGACCAGGUUUUCAUGGACAUUGGCAGCUCCUCAGGGUUUAUGCUGAUUAUGUAGCAGCCAAGCAAUACAGAGCUCCAGAACUAUUGGAGAUGUCAGGUGGAUUUGCUGAGAGAUUCUCCCAGGAACUACAGUUAAAGAUGCAGAAAGAUGCCAGGAAUAUUUGUUUACCUAAAAAAAAAAAAGUUCCAAAACAGAAAAGGAAAAAGAGCUGGAUGUCAUGGCACACACCUGUAACCUAGCACUCAGGAAGUUGAGGUGGGUGAAUUGCUGCGAGUUCAAGUCCAGCCUGAACUACAGAACAAGACCCCAUCUCAAGAAAAGAAAAAGAUAAAUCCUUAGGUGAAGAAAGAAAAACACUUGUGGUACAGGAUACCAAUGCUAAUACCAAAAUAAAGGAUUCUAAAGUAUUUAAAGAGUCAAAAAUUGAUGGAGAAGUUGAAAAGGCCAUAGAGCUUCGAAGGCCAGCUGUCUUUGCAACAGUGAGACAAGCCACAAGCAGUGCCUUCCACCAGCCUCAGAGAUGGCAGCAGGGUCACAGGUGACAUGAGAAGCCCCACUCACGCACAAUCUCACAGCGGCUCCCCAGUGUAACCCUGGAAUGAGGGCUGUCCCAGGAGUUGAGCGUUACAGAGUGGAUAACAAAACCAAGAAUUAUAUUCCACUUGUUAAGCCAAAUGUUCUCCACCAGGAAUUAGUAUAUUAAUGUGACCACAUCCAUCUCCAGCAAAAAGAACCUCCUUCAGGUAAAUAAAAGAAUGGACUACUCCAAGACAAACGUCUGUUUGCCUGAACUAAGCUGUAAUCAACUCCCUGAACCGAGAGCCUUGAAAAGCGUAACUCAAAAUCCCAGACUAAGAAAGGAGAACAGAACUCUGAGAAUCUUGCGCACCUUCCCCAGCUGCUACUGACCUGCAUGCCCCAGUGUGGCAUCACAUCAGAUGCUCACUUUGGAUGGAACAGGCCCUAGAGGGACCAUCGUCAUUCUGAAUAGGGUGCUGCACUUGACAUCCUUUGCAGCAAGAGGGCUGAGAGCCUAGGAGGAGAGAUUUGUAGUUGCAAAGGUUUCCUUCUGAUUGCCUGCUUUUUCUAAGAAAGGCUUUGCAGAAGAAGGAAAGACAAAGACUGCAGUUGUUUCAAGGGAAGAUGAAGCAAGUGCCCCUCCCCUGAUUACUCUGUCACCUUGCCAGAUGUUGAUGCCAAGAUACAGCGAAUGAAAGAAUGGUAAUAUGGAUCUUGUUACCUGAGUGUAUUUGCUGACAGUAGACUGUAUGUUUAAAGUUAGCCAAGAUUAAAAGUGAGAAAAAGGAG
rnacentral:lncRNA from 1 species